rnacentral:lncRNA from 1 species
GUCGUUCCCAUUGCUUCUCGAUUAAUGGUUAGGUCUGAAUUCUCCAACGGAGCCUUAAUGAAAUUUUUUUCUUAAGUCAAUUUUCUCAGUUUUUAUUGGCUCGGGGCUCUUGAUUUUUUUUGUUCUAUGAGCGGAUUCAUCUAGUUAGGGAUGAAUCAUUAUUGAUGCUAUAUUACACUGUUUUUUAUGAGAUGACUUACAGACCUUACAUAUUGGAA